CUUCACUGAGAGCAAAUUGGAGUGCUCAAAGCAGGCUUUAUAGCUUUGAACAUAUUAGCUUGGAAUGACAAGAUAAGACUGAAUGUCUGUUUUGUUGGUUUAUGGAUAUUUAGUAAUGACUAAUAGAACAGUUGCGGGGGUACUCGUACUGGAAAGUCAGAGGUGAAAUUCUUAGAUUUUUCCACGACGAACGACUGCGAAGGCAUUUACCAAGGAUGUUUUCAUUGAUCAAGAACGAAAGUGAUAGGAUCGAAGAUGAUUAGAUACCAUCGUAGUUAUCACUGUAAACGAUGCCGACUCGAGAUUGUAUUUAUUACUUAUUUAAUAGUUGAAUACAGUAUCGUAUGAGAAAUCAAAGUUUUCGGGUUCCGGGGGGAGUAUGAUUCGCAAGGUUGAAACUUAAAAGAAUUGACGGAAGGAC
rnacentral:rRNA from 1 species